AUACAAUGAUGUGGACAUCUUCUCAAUAACUCUUUAUACCUCUCCCAAGCUUCAUAUAGUGGCUCUCCUUCUUGUUGCACAAAGGAUGUGAUUUCCCCUCUCAGUUU